rnacentral:ncRNA from 2 species
CUCUUAUCGCGAGUGGCUGAGGGACUGGCCCGAUGACGCCCGGCAACCUGCCCGUAAGGGAGUGUGGUGCCAAAACCAGAGACCGGCUUUUGCGAUUGAGCCGGAUCGGAUGAUGAGAG